rnacentral:lncRNA from 1 species
CUUGUGACGAUGGCCCUCAAACUUGGAAUGGAACCAUGUUUGAAACGGAAUAUAAAUGUGCAUUUGGAGAACUGAGGCACUGAAUAAACUCUGUGGGCUGCAGGUUGCUGAUGGAUAUGUGACGAGAUCUGGAAGACUAAUGGUGCAUUGGCAGAAUACUGGGGGCCAAAGAUGUCCAAGUCCUAAUCCCCAGGAUCUGUGACACCACUAAGAAGACUUUGCGGAUGUGAUUAAGGUUACGGAAAUUGAAACAGAAGGAUUAUCUUGGAUUAUCUGGGUGGUCCCAACAUAAUCGAUGAGCUCUUACAAGCAGGGAACUUUCUCUGCUUGUAAGUCAAAGAUAUGUAGCAGAAGAGGAAAGCAGAGUUCAAAUGAGACAGAUGAGAAAGUGGAGAUUUUACAAGUGUGAGAAGGUCUGGACUUGCCAUGGAGAUGGAGGAAGGAGGCCAUGCUAUGAACCAAGGAAUAUGGGUGGCCUCUAAAUGCUCAGAAAGACCCCCAGAAGACAGCCAGCAAGAAAAUGGAACCUCGGCCCUACAGUCUCAAGGAACUCAAUGAUGCCAAAAGCCUAAAUUAAGUUCAAAGCUAAUGCAUCCCAGAGCUUCAGAAGCUCAAGACUGCCAAGGUCUUGGUUUCAGUUUGGGGAGGCCUGUGUUGGAUUUCUAGCCUAUAAAACUGUGAGAGGAUAUAUUUGUGUUCUCUUAAGCAUCUAUGUUUAUAGUAAUUUUUAAAGCAACAAUAGGAAACC